AGUUCAGUUCACACAUAAGCUAGCAAGUUCUAAAUAUCUAGCAACGUAUGAAGCUUAUUUACUAGCUACAGACCCCAUCUAAAAUAUCCUGGGACAGAACCGCUUUUGACCUGUUGAGACGUGAUCAAUUAGUACUACUACUCCCCCAUCGUAGCAUACAAAAACUCCAGACCUUAUCCAUCGAGUCUUGCCGUCCCUGAAGAGCUAAGCACCUGCGCCAUUGCUGUGACCUAGAGUUAGAGAGGAAUUAGGUGAGAGACCUGAGAAGUUGGCGGAGGAAGAGGAUCCAGGGAGGAGAAGGCUGGUUAAUUGCUGGGGCAAUCGCCGGAGCAGUUGUCCGAGUCAGCGACCGACCGUCGGAAUUGAUAGACGAGCGCGCAAGAAGAAUUUAGGAGGCCGAGUCAUCCAUAACCUGAGCUAGCCAACCACGUGUUCAGAGCACGAGUCCGAGACGAUGAAGAUCGACAUCAUCGAAGGUCAAUAGUUGUCCACCGACAAACAAGUCAAGUACAAGAUUAUCGAAGAUCCACUUUGGUUUGUCAGGGACAAAGGCAAGCCCUAGCCUGGUUCAUAUAAGUUUUACAAAUGCUUUCCUUCUGGUUACUUCAUAUUGCAGGCGAUUCAACUGUCUUUUCUCGAUAUGUAGAGUUAUCCUAUAUAUUGCAUGUUCCACCCUUGUAGCCUCAAAUACCUGAUCCACUUCUCCUAGCAUAACUAGGUUUGGCAUGUGUGCAUUGCUAGAGCCUUUAUAUCUUUAUGCUUAGCCAUGCUUAGUUUGUUACGCUGCAACUCCGGUCUUCGGACUGGAGCCUUACAAUGAAUUGAAUCUAGCAUGACAGGUUGACGUGGUAAGUGUAGAGAUGUUGAUAAACAUGAUUAAAGGCUCAGACGAGAGGCCACAUUGAGAUGUGGUGGGUUGUUUCGUUUCUGCCGACCCUAGGAACCGAGUUCUCGCCUCUUGAACCAAGACUGAGCGUACAACCACGCGAGGCCCUAUUAUGGUACCCUCUCGACUCACUAACUUGCCUAGUAGAUUCCAUGAGUCACAUAGUUUGCGCGUUAUUUGGACAUAUGCAUCGAAAAUAUUUGCGAAAAGGUGCAUAGCAUACAGGUAGGUAAGCGUGGCCGUGGUGGCUGGGGUUAGAGUCCCUGGGGAAACCCACCUCGCCUCACAUCGUUAAGGACCGACUUCGGGACUUGACCCGUUACGGCGGAACAAUCCUUAGCGCGUGACUCAUGGUCUCGGCGACAGCAAGGUAAAGGUCGUGGUCGACCACCCUCUGCCAGCUUUCCAAGGAAGAGAGCUAAUAGCUUGGCAUUAAGAGUCGGUUGGCACGUGUGGGUAAAGUUGUGCACCCCUGCAGGGUUAAAUCUUUUCAAAAAGCCGUGUCCACGGUUACGAACGACUUGGGAAAGGACGUGGAGAUCAUAGAGAACUUUAACCUGAUCGUAAAACUUGGCAACCAAUGUGUGUUUACGGACACCUUCUCCAGGUGUUGAGGGGGUGAUCCGAGGAUAGUGGUUCGAAAUGAUGAAGAUUGGUGGAUACAAUAUGAUGAUCAAUAGAGAUAGAGAUGUCGCUCUCUUAUCCCCUUUCAAAGGUUCUGAGUAGUCGAGUUUCUUCUCUCUCUUGUCUUACAAAGGAAAACUGGCUUUACGCAAAAGAAGCUCCACAGAAAGCCCGUAUACCCGCUUUGCUAAAAGGUUGUACUAAGUCUUGCUGAGUCCCUGUACUCAGCUUUGCAUGCUUUUGUUUCAGAAGAAGUCGCUCCAACAGAUGGUGGUUUCUAGUCGACAUCGACGAAUAGCUUGGGGUUCCCAGGUGGCAGCCUGGAAUCUAUGGGCUGGGACGUCGACGUUAUGCUCAUGGCCUCUUAGGCCUUUUGCUAUCUUGCUAUGUCUAAUAGCAUAACUUCGCUUCCGUUGAUUGAUGUAUGCCAGGUCAGUGACCUCUGCUUGUAAUACUUUGGUUCUUCGCUCAGUUAUGAGCUUGUAUUACUUUUUGAGUCGUAGAGUCACUGUUGUGUUACCGAUUCUCUCACUGUAGUCUCUCGAGCUCUAGGUUAGACUUAUGUCAGACGAAGAUCUGGUAUUUGUCUAACCCUGAUCCCGGGGGUGCCACAACAGCCUAUUUUUAGCCGAUUACGAAGGUGAUGACUUGCCAACAAUUGAGUGGAACAGGGCGGAUCCUCAGCUUGCAGAAGGCACCAUAUUUCAAACAAUGAUGGACUGCCGUAAUGCAAUUACUACAUAUUGCCUUCUCUCCAAAAAUGAUUAUGAGGUUAUUAAAAGUGAGCCAGGUAGGUUCACAGUUAAAUGCCCAUAAAUGAGGUGUAGGUGGAGGCUUCAUGCAUCCACAAUGCUCAGAAGCACCCUGGUUCAGAUAAAGAAUAACUCGAUCGGCCAUACUUGUCCACCUCGAUGGGGAGCAAACAAAGCUAGCGAAGACUAGGUGGUUGGCAGAUGCAAUUAUAGAUUGGCUGAGAGAAACUCCUUCACUUGGUCCAACAUCGCUCCAAAAAAAUAUGAAUGAGAAGUAUGAUAUACAUAUACCUUACAUGAGGAUAUUUUAUGCAAAGGAAAUGGCUCUUGACAGGAUCAAUGGUCAAUGGAAUGAAAGCUUUUUCAGUUGCUUUACACUUUCAAAGCUGAAGUGGAGAUGGCUAGUCUGGGCAGUGUUGUAGCGAUAGACAAGCAUACAGUUCCCUACAAAUUGAAAAGCGGGAGGAUAAUGCAUAAGGAAUGUUUUAGAAGGGCUUUUAUUUGUUUGAAAGCUUGUUGGAAAGGCUUUCUGGACGGUUGCAUGCCUUAUUUGGCCGUGGAUGCAACAACUCUUCAUGCCAGGUUUAAAGGACAGCUAGUUGCAGCUACUGCAGUUGCUGGACACCAUUGGAUGUUCCCUGUUGCUUAUGGAGUUUUGGAGGUUGAGUCAGAGGAAAGUUGGACUUGGUUUCUGCAGAAUUUGCGCGACCUUAUAGGUCAACCACCAGAACUUGUUAUCCACACAGACACUUGCAAAGGUUUGGAGAGUGUAGUAGAAGCUGUAUUCCCUGGAGUGGAGCAUAGGGAAUGUAUGCGACACUUGGUACAAAAUUUUACAGAGAAAUUCAAGGGUAAAGUUUUUACUGACAACCUAUGGCCAGCUUCAUACACAUGCAGUAGUAGGAAGUAUCUGUUUCAUUUGGAUGUGUUGUAUAAACAAAAACCUGGGGUGAAGGGGUACUUGGAUGAACAUCAUGGUAGGAUGUGGUCAAGAAGCCAAUUCAAUGAAAUUUGCAAGGUAGACUAUGUAACAAGUAACCUUGCGGAGAGUUUCAAUGGAAAGGUCAAGUAAUUGAAAGGGCUUAUGUUGUGGCAAAUAUUUGAUAAGAUUAGGCAGAUGAUCAUGAUAAAGAUCGAUUUGCGUCAAAGAAUUGCAGCCAACAAAUAUCAAGGCCAUCUCAUGCCCCCAUCUUUGAUUAAGUCUUUGCAUGCCAGGGAAAAACAAUUGAAGAUGAAAUGCAUCAUAAAAAGGAAUGGAGGCUGAGGUAACCUACACUGACAGUAAAAAUAGGCAGUGGAUGUAUCCAGUGAGUUUGGUUGAUAGGACAUGCCAAUGUAGGCGAUGGCAGAUCCGUGGGAUACCCUGCAUACACGCAUUGUUUUUCAUGAGUGUUAUAGGGGGUGAAGAAGGUGAAGUUGAUCAGUAUGUGUCAGAGUAUUUCUCUGUUGCCAAAUUUAUGGCUGCAUAUGCUAUGAAUGUUCCUACCUUGUUGGGAAAAGACCAAUGGAUGAAAGUCGAUCCAGGCUUCAAACUGUACUGUCCAGUUUGACUAGACCGGCAGGUAGGCCGAGGAAGAAUAGGAUCAGAGCUAGUGCAGAGGGUGGUGCACCGAUUCGAAAACGUAAGUGCAAACGUUGUGGAAUCCCGGGACACAUUGCUAGGCUUUUUAAAAAUCAAGUUGACCCAGCUUUUGGAAUGGAAGAUCGGGCGGGAGCGAGCAAAUGCAGAGGAGAAUGAAGCAGCAAUUCAACAUGAGGAGAUUGAAGAAGCAAUUUAACAUGAGGAGAUUGAAGCAGCAAUUCAACAUGAGGAGAUUGAUCGAGAGCUGUUUGAACCGAUGGAUCGAGAGCAGAGGGAACAGAUGGAUCGAGAGGCUACUUGAACCGAUAGAUCGAGAGCAGAGGGAACAGAUGGAACGAGAGGCCGGUGAAGAGCUAGUGCGCCAGAUGAGAGAACAGUUGGAAUAGCAGAUUGUACAAGCAAGGGAAGAAAAUGCAUUAGAAGAAAGAGCACAAGCUUCGUAUGAUAUGGCUGUCUUCGCACAACCCGAAGAGAAGAAGAAGAACAAGAAAGAGGGCAAAAGGAAGGUAGACACCGGUAAUAUCCCUGGUAGGGUUACCCAGAGUAAGGUGUUGGCCACAGCGAGUCACACCAGGAGCAAGAGAAAGAUUUGAACAAUUAAUUAGAAUUUGUAUAAAAAAUUAAUUUGAAUUUGUAUGAACAAUUUGUAUUGGGGAUCCCUAUGUAUUGGGAUCCCUUUGUAUUAGGGAUCCCUUUGUAUUGGGGAU